rnacentral:rRNA from 1 species
AGAACGAACGCUGGCGGCAUGCCUAACACAUGCAAGUCGAACGAUGCUUUCGGGCAUAGUGGCGCACGGGUGCGUAACGCGUGGGAAUCUGCCUUUCGGUACGGAAUAACUCAGGGAAACUUGUGCUAAUACCGUAUGAUGUCGCGAGACCAAAGAUUUAUCGCCGAGAGAUGAGCCCGCGUAGGAUUAGCUAGUUGGUGGGGUAAAGGCCUACCAAGGCGACGAUCCUUAGCUGGUCUGAGAGGAUGAUCAGCCACACUGGGACUGAGACACGGCCCAGACUCCUACGGGAGGCAGCAGUGGGAAUAUUGGACAAUGGGACGAAAGCCUGGAUCCAGCAAUGACCGCGUGAGUGAUGAAGGCCUUAGGGUUGUAAAGUCUACUUUUACCCGGGAAGAUAAGUGUAACUGUAACCCGGGAGAACUAACGGCCCCGGACUAACCGUCCGCGCCCGAGCACG